rnacentral:rRNA from 1 species
CUUGGGGGCUGGUGGAGGGUUGCGCACUUUGUGCGUGUUCCUUCCCCGCCCUGUCUGCUACUGCCCAUGUCUUUUGCGUACCCAUUGUUUCCUCGGCGGGUUUGCCCGUCGAUUGGACACUACAACCCUUUGUAAUUGCAAUCAGCGUCAGAAAACUAUAAUUAUUACAACUUUCAACAACGGAUCUCUUGGUUCUGGCAUCGAUGAAGAACGCAGCGAAAUGCGAUAAGUAGUGUGAAUUGCAGAAUUCAGUGAAUCAUCGAAUCUUUGAACGCACAUUGCGCCCCUUGGUAUUCCAUGGGGCAUGCCUGUUCGAGCGUCAUUUGUACCCUCAAGCAUUGCUUGGUGUUGGGUGUUUGUCCCGCUGUUACGCGUGGACUCGCCUUGAAGCAAUUGGCAGCCGGCAAUCUGGUGAUGGAGCGCAGCACAUUUUGCGCUUCUUGCUAUAGAUAACGGCGUCCAUCAAGCCUUUUUUUUGCUCUUGACCUCGGAUCAGGUAGGGAUACCCGCUGAACUUAAGCAUAUCAAUAAGCGGAGGA